rnacentral:rRNA from 1 species
CCUACGGGCGGCAGCAGUGAGGAAUAUUGGUCAAUGGCCGGAAGGCUGAACCAGCCAUGCCGCGUGAAGGUCAGUGCCCUAUGGGCGUUAAACUUCUUUUGUGCGGGAGCAAUAAUGGUCAGGUGUGGCCAGACGAGAGUACCGUACGAAUAAGCAUCGGCUAACUCCGUGCCAGCAGCCGCGGUAAUACGGGUGAUGCAAGCGUUAUCCGGAUUUAUUGGGUUUAAAGGGUGCGUAGGCUGUGAGGUAAGUCAGCGGGGAAAUGCCCACGCUAAACGGGGUGAAGUGCCAUUGAUACUGCCUUGCUGGAAUGCGGAUGACGUGGGAGGAAUGUGUGGUGUAGCGGUGAAAUGCAUAGAUAUCACACAGAACACCGAUUGCGAAGGCAUCUCACGAAUCCGCGAUUGACGCUGAUGCACGAAAGCGUGGGUAUCAAACAGGAUUAGAUACCCCGGUAGUC